rnacentral:rRNA from 1 species
UUUUAUGGAGAGUUUGAUCCUGGCUCAGGACGAACGCUGGCGGCGUGCCUAAUACAUGCAAGUCGAGCGGACAAUUGAGAGCUUGCUCUCAAUUGUUAGCGGCGGACGGGUGAGUAACACGUGGGCAACCUGCCCUGUAGACUGGGAUAACUUCGGGAAACCGAAGCUAAUACCGGAUAAUCUUUAGCAUCACAUGGUGCAAAAGUAAAAGUUGGGUUUUACCUAACACUACAGGAUGGGCCCGCGGCGCAUUAGCUAGUUGGUAAGGUAACGGCUUACCAAGGCGACGAUGCGUAGCCGACCUGAGAGGGUGAUCGGCCACACUGGGACUGAGACACGGCCCAGACUCCUACGGGAGGCAGCAGUAGGGAAUCUUCCGCAAUGGACGAAAGUCUGACG